GUUCAGGGGUGGGUCUGACGUCCCUGAGUGUAUGCGGUGAACCUGAAUUUGCCUUGGGUUUCCUCAUACUCAUUCAGGAGUGUCAGUUCCCCCUUCACU
ensembl:miRNA